CCAAGACCUGGUCGACGAAGCUGUUCUAAAGGGGUGGCAUGCAAUCAGCUACCCCAUUGAAGUCGGCUGCAGCGGGUUCCCAGCAAAAUCGGUGCGCUAUUUUCUCCAGAGAGUGGGCCUGGAGUCUAAACAACUGAAGAAAGCCACCAGGGACAUUGCUGUAGCAGCCGAGUCCAGUUCAAGAUGGCUGUGGCUGAAGAGAGCCCACAGUUGGAACCCUUCUGCAGGUGAAGACUAGUCAGUCUUCGCUGCCCCACUCAGGCGAGGUGUUCAGGUUAAGGGGCGAAACACCGGAGACCCUGAGAUCCCCUGCUGAUGAUGCGGAAGGGUUCCAACAUUGUGGAUGCUCCAAGAAUACCACCUCAGAAGUAGAUCUGCAUCAUCAUAGUUCCUACUUUUGGCAAAGCAUCUCUGAUGUUUACUUCACCUUAAUUAUAAUAUUACAUUUCUAUAAAUUGCAAUAUUAACUACAAAUUAAUGUUAUGUCCACCCUGUCAUGUCUAUGUCCACCUUAUCAAGUCUUAAGUGGCUGACAGGGUGAACAUUUUGAGCUUCGAUUAGCAUAUUAGCUUACAACAAACUGUGACUAGCUAAAUAGCUAGUCUGGUUGUUGAAGAGAAUUUGGUAUAUUUAAACUUACAUAUUUGAAAAUAUUGUAUUCUAAUCACUUCGGGCAUAUUUUAUGCCAACAGGGUGGACAUUGUUAAGCUUUGGCACAACAAGUAAGCAAACUCAAACGAAGAAAAUUUGUCAGUUGGAAAGUCACCAACUCACUUCAGCCGUUGAAAUUCCCAAAUUCCCGCCACUGAAGAGAUGUGUUGUCACGAAAGGGGAUGGCCUUUUCUUAAAGGGACAGAUUCCCCAAUAGGACAGGGUGGACAACCAUUCAAGGGACAUGAAAAAACUUUUUUUUUUUUUUUUUUUUAUUAAAUAAAAAUAUUGUUUUUAUUACCAAAUAAUCAGUACACUCAAACUGAGUAAUCUCUUAUUUAAAAAAAAUAUAUAUUAAUAGGAAAACUACAUUUUUAAAAUUUACAGUAUGAUUUGACUAUAUUUUACUCUUAUUCAAAUUUAAUGAGCAGUGCAUGGGACAUAGCAAAUAACACACAUCUUCUUAUACAAAAUCUAGAAAAUGUAUCUAAAGAGCCAAGUAAUGCUUUUGUUAUGAAUAUAGAAACUUAGCCUUAUAUAACACACCCUUUGAUAGUCAUUUUUAUGUUAAUUUAUCAUGGCAAAUGAGUUAUUUAUGUACAGGACACCAAAAGGCACCCUACAGUAAUAUUGACCCAUAUGCAUAUUUUACAGAGUUGGGCAUUUGGUUCAUUUUAAUGUGGUAAUGUUAAAUGCUUCUCCUGUUGAAAGUACACAUGGGGACUCCUGGAAAGAGUUAACCUCUGCAUCAUUACUCUGAAAACUAGUAGUCAGGUUUACAGAAAUCCACAGAAAGAUUAUUUGGCUUCUGGAUAAAGAAGAACCAUUCUUUGCAAAGCCUAGAGAGUUUGGUGGUUUUUAAUGGAAGUUCAAACAUCACCAAAGGAUUCAGUCAUAUAGAGAUACUUGGAAAUCUUAGUCAGCGUGAAUGUACCACUGUUUUCUAUGAUGUGAUGAACAGCCAUUCAGACAAGUACUACUUUAGGGUGGAAAUGCCAUCGGAUUGGAAAUACACAUAUAGUGAAAACCCCAUCAACAUGUUCUGUUAUGCCAUCAAAAUUAUACUGUGAUUGAUUCAUAAUUUAAUUCAAAUUUAUUUGUAUAGUGCUUUUAUAGCAUCAAUGCAGCUUCACAGAAAAUGCAUGUCUACAUUACAAUUUAGAGUGAUCUGUUAUCGGAGGUGACUGUGUCCAAGUAAUGUAUUUCAGAAAUGUACAAAUACAAAUCACACAGUUAGCUGACAUUAUGUAUUAAUUUUAGGCAGAAAAAAUAGCUCAUUAUUGAGUAAUUAAUUGUAUUAAUUAAUUAAUUAUUACAAGUUGUGAACAUGAUUACAGUAUAUAGAAUAUUUAGGUAACACUGUGUCAUUGUUACAUGUACUUACUUUAGUAAUAACUAUAAGUUAUGCAUAAUUACAUGCAACUAACCCUAAACCAAACCCUAAUUCUAACCCUAUAGUAAGUACAUAACUUUAUAUUACUCAGCAAUUAAAUAUAAUUACUGUAACCAAAAUUUAGCAUUGGUGCUUAAUCAUGGAGUCAUUUCAGGGGUUCCCCAAUUAUUGGUAAUUUGUGUUGCAUAUCUCAAUGAAAUAUAUGAUCAUUCCUUAAAUUAAUUAAAUGCCUUUAGUUGCAAGAUGAUUCAGUCAGUAGUUUUUGUUUGUGUUUGGGAUUGUUCUCUUGUCUCUUGGCCUAAAAGUCCCCACAACAAAAUACCUGUGACAAAAAGAACUGUUAAAUUACCAAAGGAGGAACAUUUAGUAAUAGUAAUACUUCUCGUGAAAUUAAUAGUUUUCCAUAAUUGAGAGGAAGUAUUUUGUUGUGGAAGCAAAAUGGGCCCACAGACUACUGGAGUUACACAUGAGUUUUGUUUGUGAAAUGUACCUGUAUUGACAUUGUAGUUCCAAGUACUAAAUUAAAAUAAUACAAUUAAGUGAUUGUAUUAAGAAAAGAAAGUACUUUUAUACAAAAGUUCAAUAAACUAGAAGUUAAAAUUGAGUAACUUGGACACAGUAUUUACCUUUUACUAACAGUCUAUUUUCACUCCAGAAAAUAAUUCCAAAUUGAGUCAUUGAAGAAUCAACCAUUGUGUUUCUAUAAGGAUCAAACAGUGUUUUGUUCCUAAAUAAAUCAGUGUAUUUAAAAGGUUGAGUCAACAGUUCAGUGACUCAUCAUACAGUUCAUCAUAAAAACAGCUACUUUUUUUUCGUUUCUGAAUGUCGUCGACAAUAGAGACUGUUCCAAAGCAGCUUCACAGUCUUAAACAGGAAAGUAAUGCAAUCAAUGAUGCAAACUUAAAAAAAUACAAAUUCUGCUGUAAAGCAUCUGUAGAAAAAAAAAAUUUCAUCUUGUAUCAAUAAUCAAUAGUGUAUUUUUUUUUUUUUUUUUUUUUUUUUUGGUGCCCUGUAGAUGUACCUCAGCCUCUUAUCCUUUAACCCACUGAUCUGAAGGAAGUGAUGGAGAACACAACAGUCAAUCUGAGCUGCUCUGCUGAAGCCCCCUGCCCCAAACAACCUCCUACAAUAUCCUGGUCCAACAUCCCUGAAUCUGCCAACAUUACAACACAGUUACAGGAGAAACCUGAUAAAACCCAGUCAGUGUUUUCACACAUGACCUUCAAAGCUUCAUACAUGGAUCAUAGAAAGAACAUCUCCUGCACUGCUACAUAUCCAAGAAAUACAUCUAAUGACUCAACUGUGGAGACCACCGUGAUGCUACGAGUCCUGUUUCCUCCAAAUGAAACUCGCAUCACCAUCGAUCCAUCUGCUUCAGUCUCUGUUGGCACUAAUGUGACUUUGACCUGCAAAAGCAAAGCCAAUCCAUCAAAUGACAUGAACUACACCUGAUACAAACGUGGACCAGAGAACCAGCUGGAUUUCGGAGAACAACUGACCUUUACUGUAAAUAGGAGGAGUGGAGGCUGGUACUUCUGCACAGCAAAGAAUGAACAUGGUUUUCAAAUAUCAGAAGAGAUCCAGCUGAUUGUGUCAGACUCUGCUCCAUUAGAAUCACUGUCUUUGAUCAUUGGCUGUGUAGUAGGAGUUUCAGCAUUUCUGUUGAUAUUUCUUCUGAUAACACUUUUCCUCAGAUUGCAAAGAUUAAAGGCAUCCACUAUUAAGAAAACUGACAUCUCAGAUCAGGAAAAACAAGUGCAGAUAAGCUCCAUUUAUACUAAUGGUGCUUUUGUGUCGGGUGAAGAGCUGGAGAUGCCAAAGGAUGAAAAUGACGUAGUCCACUAUGGAGAGAUUGACUUCUCCACUCCACAAACCAAAAGCACCAUAGUGAAGAGCUCAGGACAAGAGACAAUAUAUGCUGAGGUCAGAGGCCCAGAGAAGGAGAUGAACCAGGAUUAGUUUACAUUAGAAUAAAUGGCUUGAGUGAACUGUGUAAAUGUAGUAUGCUUUAUUGGCUUGUCUUGUC